rnacentral:rRNA from 1 species
AUUGAACGCUGGCGGCAGGCCUAACACAUGCAAGUCGAACGGUAACAGGAAGAAGCUUGCUUCUUUGCUGACGAGUGGCGGACGGGUGAGUAAUGUCUGGGAAACUGCCUGAUGGAGGGGGAUAACUACUGGAAACGGUAGCUAAUACCGCAUAACGUCGCAAGACCAAAGAGGGGGACCUUCGGGCCUCUUGCCAUCGGAUGUGCCCAGAUGGGAUUAGCUAGUAGGUGGGGUAACGGCUCACCUAGGCGACGAUCCCUAGCUGGUCUGAGAGGAUGACCAGCCACACUGGAACUGAGACACGGCCCAGACUCCUACGGGAGGCAGCAGUGGGGAAUAUUGCACAAUGGGCGCAAGCCUGAUGCAGCCAUGCCGCGUGUAUGAAGAAGGCCUUCGGGUUGUAAAGUACUUUCAGCGGGGAGGAAGGGAGUAAAGUUAAUACCCUUGCUCAUUGACGUUACCCGCAGAAGAAGCACCGGCUAACUCCGUG